CAGGGAGACAACAAAAUGUUUAAUAUUAUUAUUUUGUCACCUUAGGUCGAUCGGUAUCUCACGUUUUUAAUUUAUUAAGAAUUUCAUUUCCUAAGUUUUUCUAGGUCACACCCAUUAUUUUUCCUGGGCCAUUAGCUCAGGUGGUUAGAGCGCACCCCUGAUAAGGGUGAGGUCCCUGGUUCAAGUCCAGGAUGGCCCAUAUCUCUAUGUUGGGGGUAUAGCUCAGUUGGUAGAGCGCCUGCUUUGCAAGCAGGAUGUCAGCGGUUCGAGUCCGCUUACCUCCACUGAUUACCACCUCUUCCAUACUCGGUAGAAAGGAAAUGUUUUGAGUUGUGAUCAAAUUCUGAAAGAAUCUAGCUUCCUAAUGAAAUCAUUAAGAUGCUGGACUCAUUGAAUUAAUUUCAUUGUUUUCAGAGAACCUUGACAACUGCAUAGAUUAUUUUUAAAGACAAUGAGCAUCUUUAAUGAUGCAGAUUUAUUAUUUGUGCGAAUGCAUUAAUAACAAUUCUAUUAAGCUGAUGCUUCAAUUUUUGAAGUUAUU
rnacentral:tRNA from 1 species